AUAAAGACAAAAGAAGGUAUUUAAUGGAUGCCUUGGUAUUCGGUUAUGGACGUAAUACGUUGCGAUAAGUCAUGGGGAGAAACGUAGAAAAACUGUGAUCCAUGAAUAGCCAUAGAGAAAACUCACUCGUAAUGAGUAGAGUCAUUAUAUAUGAUUCUAUAUACUUGGCGAACUGAAACAUCUAAGUAGCCAAAGGAAAAGAAAUCAAAAGAGAUUCCGUUAGUAGUGGCGAGCGAAUACGGAUUAGGUCAUUUUAUUCUGUAGUACAGAAUAAAAACUAUUUGAAUAAAUUAAUAAGAAAAGAUUGGAAAAUCUUGCCAUAGAAGGUGAUAGCCCUGUAUUUAAACGUAAUCAUUUGAAUAGUGGAGUAAGACGGAACACGUGAAAUUUUGUCUGAAUAUAGCAGGACCACCUGCUAAACCUAAAUAUAACCGAAUAACCGAUAGUGAACAAGUACCGUGAGGGAAAGGUGAAAAGAACCCUGAAAAGGGAGUGAAAAGAACCUGAAAUUGAAUACUUACAAGCAGUCGGAGUGAACUUAUUUAUAAGUUUAUGACGGCGUACCUUUUGCAUAAUGGGUCAGCGAGUUCAUAUACGCAGCAAGCUUAAUCCGUUAGGAAUAGGCGCAGUGAAAACGAGUUUGAAAAAUAGCGUUAAGUUGCGUGUAUGAGACCCGAAACUGAGUGAUCUAUCCAUGAACAGGUUGAAGGUGUGGUGAAACAUACUGGAGGACCGAACCCACGUAUGUGGAAAAAUAUGGGGAUGAUUUGUGGAUAGGGGUGAAAGGCUAAUCAAACUCAGAGAUAGCUGGUUUUCUGCGAAAUCUAUUUAGGUAGAGCGUUGUUAAUUAAUCAUUUGGGGUAGAGCACUCAUUGAGUACUUGGGGGGUGUGAAACUACUUCAGGCUCAAGGAAACUCCGAAUACGAAUGAUUGUAUAACAGCAGACAGACUAUGGGCGAUAAGGUCCGUGGUCGAGAGGGAAACAGCCCAGACCGUAAGCUAAGGUCCCAAAGUAAUUACUAAGUGGUAAAGGAUGUUAAAAGGCCAAGACAACCAGGAGGUGGGCUUGGAAGCAGCCAUCCUUUAAAGAAAGCGUAACAGCUCACUGGUCUAUAUAAGCCUUUUUGCGCCGAAAAUGUAACGGGGCUUAAGUAAUUCACCGAAGCUGCGGAAGAUUUUAUAAUCUUGGUAGCAGAACGUUCUGUAAGUUGUAGAAGAUAAAAUGUGAAUUUUAUUGGAGAUAUCAGAAGUGAGAAUGCUGACAUGAGUAGCGACAAACAAUGUGAAAAUCAUUGUCACCGUAAGUUCAAGGGUUUCUGUGCAAGGUUCGUCCACGCAGAGUGAAUCGGUCCCUAAUAAAAAAACGAAUGUUGUAUUAGAUGGGAAUUUUUUAUUAAGUAAUUAGUAAAAUAGUAUCAAUGGUGACGAAUUGUAUAAUAUAAGCGUAUGUUGAUUGGAUUAUAUAUGCUUAUAAUACGGUUCCAGGAAAAAGCCUUGAUAUGAAAAACCGUACCCCAAACCGACACAGGUGAACGAGUAGAAUAUACUAAGGUGAGUGAGAGAACAAUCUUGAAGGAACUCGGCAAAAUGGCUCCGUAACUUAGGAAGAAGGAGUACUUAUAUAAUUAUAUAUUGGUUAUAUAAGUGGCACUUAAUAGGGGGAAGCGACUGUUUAAUAAAAACACAAGACUCUGCUAAACCGUAAGGUGAUGUAUAGGGUCUGACACCUGCCCGGUGCUGGAAGGUUAACGUGAUUUGUUUAUAGCAAAGAUCUUAAGCCCCAGUAAACGGCAGCCGUAACCAUAACGGUUCUAAGGUAGCGAAAUUCCUUUUCGGGUAAGUUCCGAAGUGCAUGAAUGGUGUAACGACUUCCCUACUGUCUCCAAGAUUGACUCAGCGAAAUUGAACUCUCCGUGAAGAUGCGGAGUUCCAACGGUUAGACGGAAAGACCCCGUGCACCUUUACUACAUCUUUACAAUGCUAAGAAAGAUAUAAUGUGUAGAAUAGGUGGGAGCUUAUGACACCUCGACGCUAGUCGAUUGUAGAGGCAACAAUGAAAUACCACUCUUUAUAUCUUUUAUGGCUAACUAAUAUUUUAAUAGUAAAAUUUAGGACAUUGUAUGGUUGGUAGUUUGACUGGGGCGGUCGCCUCCUAAAGAGUAACGGAGGCGCGCAAAGGUGGGCUCAGGUUGGUUGGAAACCAACUGUAGAGUGUAAUGGCAUAAGCCCGCUUGACUGUGACACCUACAAGUGAAACAGAGACGUAAGUCGGCCAUAGUGAUCCGGUGGUGCUGUGUGGAAAGGCCAUCGCUCAACGGAUAAAAGGUACGCCGGGGAUAACAGGCUAAUGACUCCCAAGAGCUCUUAUCGACGGAGUCGUUUGGCACCUCGAUGUCGGCUCAUCACAUCCUGGAGCUGCAGAAGGUUCCAAGGGUUUGGCUGUUCGCCAAUUAAAGUGGUACGUGAGCUGGGUUUAGAACGUCGUGAGACAGUUCGGUCCCUAUCUGCCGUUGGUGCUGGAGAAUUGAGAGGUUCCGACCCUAGUACGAGAGGAUCGGGGAGGAUAUACCUAUGGUGUACCGAUUGUUAAGCCAAUAGCAUAGUCGGGUAGCUACGUAUAGACAGAAUAACCGCUGAAAGCAUAUAAGCGGGAAUUCUACCUCAAAACAAGUUCUCCUUUGAGAGCCGUGAUAGACUAUCACGUUAAUAGGUCAAAAGUGUAAACAUGGUGACAUGCAGCUAAUUGAUACUAAUAUCUCGAAUGUCUUUCAUAU
rnacentral:rRNA from 1 species